rnacentral:rRNA from 1 species
CCUUAGUACGGCGAGUGAAGCGGUAAAAGCUCAAAUUUGAAAUCUGGUACUUUCAGUGCCCGAGUUGUAAUUUGUAGAAUUUGUCUUUGAUUAGGUCCUUGUCUAUGUUCCUUGGAACAGGACGUCAUAGAGGGUGAGAAUCCCGUUUGGCGAGGAUACCUUUUCUCUGUAAGACUUUUUCGAAGAGUCGAGUUGUUUGGGAAUGCAGCUCAAAGUGGGUGGUAAAUUCCAUCUAAAGCUAAAUAUUGGCGAGAGACCGAUAGCGAACAAGUACAGUGAUGGAAAGAUGAAAAGAACUUUGAAAAGAGAGUGAAAAAGUACGUGAAAUUGUUGAAAGGGAAGGGCAUUUGAUCAGACAUGGUGUUUUUUGCAUGCACUCGCCUCUCGUGGGCUUGGGCCUCUCAAAAAUUUCACUGGGCCAACAUCAAUUCUGGCAGCAGGAUAAAUCAUUAAGAAUGUAGCUACUUCGGUAGUGUUAUAGCUUUUUGGAAUACUGUUAGCCGGGAUUGAGGACUGCGCUUCGGCAAGGAUGUUGGCAUAAUGGUUAAAUGCCGCCCGUCUUGAACC